rnacentral:rRNA from 1 species
CAGCAGCCGCGGGAAUACGAAGGGGGCUAGCGUUGCUCGGAAUUACUGGGCGUAAAGGGAGCGUAGGCGGAUCGUUAAGUUGGGGGUGAAAGCCCGGGGCUCAACCUCGGAAUUGCCUUCAAUACUGGCGAUCUUGAGUAUGGAAGAGGUAUGUGGAACUCCGAGUGUAGAGGUGAUAUUCGUAGAUAUUCGGAAGAACGCCAGUGGCGAAGGCGACAUACUGGUCCAUUACUGACGCUGAGGCUCGAAAGCGUGGGGAGCAAACAGGAUUAGAUACCCCUGUAGUCCCUGUCUCUUAUAC